CGUAAAGCAACCUGCCCGAAAGACCGGGACAACAGCUCGAAAGGGCUGCUAAUACCGGAUGUGUCCGCCACCUCACAUGGGGAGGCGAGUAAAUCAUUUAUGGCUUUCGGAGGGGCUUGCGGCCUAUCAGCUAGAUGGCGAGGUAACGGCUCACCAUGGCGACGACGGGUAGCUGGUCUGAGAGGAUGGUCAGCCGGACUGGGACUGAGAUACGGCCCAG
rnacentral:rRNA from 1 species